GUUGAACGCUGGCGGCAGGCUUAACACAUGCAAGUCGAGCGGGGUGAUGGUGCUUGCACUAUCACUUAGCGGCGGACGGGUGAGUAAUGCUUAGGAAUCUGCCUAUUAGUGGGGGACAACAUCUCGAAAGGGAUGCUAAUACCGCAUACGUCCUACGGGAGAAAGCAGGGGAUCACUUGUGACCUUGCGCUAAUAGAUGAGCCUAAGGCGGAUUAGCUAGUUGGUGGGGUAAAGGCCUACCAAGGCGACGAUCUGUAGCGGGUCUGAGAGGAUGAUCCGCCACACUGGGACUGAGACACGGCCCAGACUCCUACGGGAGGCAGCAGUGGGGAAUAUUGGACGAUGGGGGGAACCCUGAUCCAGCCAUGCCGCGUGUGUGAAGAAGGCCUUAUGGUUGUAAAGCACUUUAAGCGAGGAGGAGGCUCUUUUGGUUAAUACCCAAGAUGAGUGGACGUUACUCGCAGAAUAAGCACCGGCUAACUCUGUGCCAGCAGCCGCAGUAA
rnacentral:rRNA from 1 species